rnacentral:tRNA from 1 species
UGGCUCAGAGGUUAAAGCGUCUGCCUGGAAUUCAGGAGACCCGGGUUCGAUCCCUGG